ensembl:lncRNA LINC01093 long intergenic non-protein coding RNA 1093
UCUUUCCUCUCUUGCAAACCAUGGGCACCCUUGGGUCCCUUGGGGUCACUAUGUUACACCUGCUUUUUAUCUGUCUGGGCAAGAGCUGCUCAAGCCACACCUUGUGACACUGAGGUGAAAAGGCAGGUCGGGUGAAGAAGAGCAGGAUGUUUCAUUUUUAUCAAGCAUCACCUGAUUCAAAAUGUAGCCACUGAAAAGAAGCCAUCGUUUUUGGCCUGCGUCUCUGAGGAUAAGAUAAUCAGCUAUGAAAAUACCCAGCCGGCCUGCAGCCCUCCCGGCAGAUGCUGAAAAGGAAACCCGACUGGGAGAUGCCGCCCACCCUUAUCCCCAGAGAGCUGCGUUGUUUCCUCUUGCCUUGGCCUUUGGAUCCGGCCAUAGCAAGCAUCCCUGGGCACCUGGCUGAAGCUGGAAACUCGGGAUAAGAAUGGAAGCCCUGGAAGGGAAGAAGAACCGAGGAGAGGACAGCACAUUGCACUCUCACCUCCUUUGCAGUUAAGUGUGAAAUAGUGCCAAUAGAGUGUAAAAGAAAAGAAAGAAGAUGAUUCACCUCCCAAAGAUUCCCCACUGCUGUGUCCCUUCUAUCAACUUGAUACAAAAAAACACAAUGGCCCCGGGAACCACGUGUUGAAGAUGAGAGAGCUAAAAGAUGGAAAGAGACUGGAGCCCUGAGUCACCACCUGGAGGAAAACUACCCACCCAUCAGGAAUUUCUACUACACAUUUGGGAGUUUUUGGGGUUACAGCAGCUAAUUUAACGAAAACACCCAGAGACAAGAGCUAUUACUGCACAAAUUGGUUAAGUUACCUUUUUGUAUGUUUGGGUCCUCUCUAUUCGAUGAGACUGCGCGUUCCUUUGAAGCAAAUCUGUUUAAAAUUCUUAUAUCCCCAGAGGGCCUAGCAGAGAGUAUGCACAGAGUGAGCCUUCAGUAAAUGCUGAGUAAAUAAGCUCCUAAUGGAUGAAACUGUGUCUUCGAAGUUUGUUCUGACCAGUACUUAGUAUAGGAUUUUGUGCUGUUGGUCACUUUUCAUAAAGGUUCUUGCUAUUAAGGAACUUGACAUCCAAUGUACUCAUAGAAAGUAGAAAUUCAGGGGAAACAAAUAGAAGAGAUAUGUCCAAAAAUCCAUUUAAAAUUUCAUUGACAGAUAUUUAUCUCUUUAAUCCUGGAAGUUGUUUCAUGUAAGGGAAGGUUCAGUAGAAUGAAAACAGGACUGUAAGCUGGGAGGAGAUUUGGGGUCUCUUGGCCAACUCUGCCACAAAUUGUGUUACCUUCAACUUCCCUGCCUGUAAAAUGAAGUCAGUGGUCCCUAAAAUGAAAUUGGACUAAUGGCAAAUUAGCUAGCAUUUGAUUAUACAUCGAUAGUUUCCCCAUGUGAUUUUAACGCACAAAUCAGAUUUUGGAACCAUUAGGUAGGUGAUCUUAUCUUAUGAGUUUAUCUUUUUCAACAUGGAAAAAUAAAUUUGUUUUGCUGACCGAAGGCUGUGUAACUUAGAACUGGAAAGAGACAUGUAAUUGAAUAACCCAUCUCUAUGGGGCAAAAAAAUGAAACACCUUUAGUUUGUUCAAAGAUGAAAUGGAAAAAUAAACAUGUUUUAAGAUGA